rnacentral:misc_RNA from 1 species
GAUGAAGAACGCAGCGAAAUGCGAUAAGUAAUGUGAAUUGCAGAAUUCAGUGAAUCAUCGAAUCUUUGAACGCACCUUGCGCCCUUUGGCUAUUCCGAAGGGCAUGCCUGUUUGAGUAUCAUGAACACCUCAACUCUUCACGGCUUGCCGUGAUGAGUUUGGACUUUGGGGGUCUUGCUGGCCUACGAGCCAGCUCCUCUCAAAUGUAUUAGCUUGCCGGUGUUUGGUGGCAUCACAGGUGUGAUAACUAUCUACGCUUGUGGUUUUCCACUAGGUAACCUUCAGCAAUGGAGGUUCACCGGAGCUCACAAAUGUCUCUCCUUGCCAAGGACAGAUUUUGACCAUUUGAUCUCAAAUCAGGUAGGACUACCCGCUGAACUUAAGCAUAUCAAUAAGCGGAGG